CCCCUAGAUGUUCUGGGCCGCACGCGCGCUACACUGAACAGUUCAACAAGUCUUAACCUUGGCCGAUAGGUCUGGGUAAUCUUUGAACGCUGUUCGUGAUUGGGAUAGACCUUUGCAAUUAUGGGUCUUCAACGAGGAAUUCCUAGUAAACGCAAGUCAUCAGCUUGCAUUGAUUACGUCCCUGCCCUUUGUACACACCGCCCGUCGCACCUACCGAUUGAAUGGUCCGGUGAAGCCUCGGGAUUGUGGUUCUUGCCGCUUUAUUGUGGCGUGACCGCGAGAACUUGUCUAAACCUUAUCAUCUAGAGGAAGGUGAAGUCGUANCA
rnacentral:rRNA from 1 species